CACGUAGGGGGCGAGCGUUGUCCGGAUUUAUUGGGCGUAAAGAGCUCGUAGGCGGUUUGGCAAGUCGGGUGUGAAAUUUCGAGGCUCAACCUCGAAACGCCACUCGAUACUGCCAUGACUGGAGUCCGGUAGAGGAGUGCGGAAUUCCUGGUGUAGCGGUGAAAUGCGCAGAUAUCGGGAGGAACACCAGUGGCGAAGGCGACUACCUGGCCUGUUCUUGACGCUGAGGCGCGAAAGCUAGGGGAGCAAACGGG
rnacentral:rRNA from 1 species